rfam:Streptomyces hygroscopicus ATCC 53653 genomic scaffold supercont1.1, whole genome shotgun sequence.
UCGGCCCCGGUUCACGACGUGCAAACCCGCUCGUCGACCCGGCGCC